GGAGAAACAGGUAGCCGUAUGUUAGAGGAUGUGCAGGUGCUAAAUUUUGAUAGCUUUUCCUGGACAACAGCUUCAUCAAAGCUCUACCUCUCGCCCACCAGUCUUCCUCUAAAGAUCCCAGCAUGCAAGGGUCAUGCUUUGGUUCAAUGGGGGAAAAAGAUUCUUAUGGUUGGAGGGAAAACAGACCCUUCAAGUGACAAAGUCUCAGUC
rnacentral:misc_RNA from 1 species